rnacentral:rRNA from 1 species
CCCUUAGAUGUUCUGGGCUGCACGCGCGCUACACUGAGUGUCUGAGAUACGAGUCUGCCUGGUCCGGCAAGGUCUAGGUAAUCGCUAAAAGACACAUCAUGCUUGGGAUAGAUUAUUGCAAAUAUUAAUCUUGAACGAGGAAUUCCUAGUAAGCGCAAGUCAACAGCUUGCGUUUAUUACGUCCCUGCCCUUUGUACACACCGCCCGUCGCUACUACUGAUUGGAUGUUUAAGCGAGGUUCUCGAACUGCUAGCGACUUAGCUUCGGUGAGGUCGCAGUGUGGGAAGUGAACCUAGCUUUGGUGUCUAGAGGAAGUAAAAGUCGUAACA